CAAUAGCGUAUAUUAAAGUUGUUGCAGUUAAAAAGCUCGUAGUUGGAUUUCUGGUCGGAAGCUCCUGUCCUCUGAUGAGCGUACAAGUGCGUCCUACCAUCCUUCUGUUAACCUUUGAGGCUUUCGCGGCUUUCUAGGGGCUCAGAUAUUUUACCUUGAGAAAAUUAGAGUGUUUCAGGCAGGCUAGCGCCGGAAUACAUUAGCAUGGAAUAAUGGAAUAGGACUUUUGCCUCUUCUGUUGGUCAUGAGGCUCGAGUAAUGAUUAAUAGGGAUAGUUGGGGGCAUUAGUACUUAACUGUCAGAGGUGAAAUUCUCGGAUUUGUUAAAGACUAACUUAUGCGAAAGCAUUUGCCAAGGAUGUUUUCAUUA
rnacentral:rRNA from 1 species